CAAAUACUCCCUCUGUCCAGAAAUACUUGUCAUCAAAAUGGAUAAAAAAGGAUGUAUCUAGAUGUAUUUUAGUUCUAGAUACAUCUCUUUUUAUUCAUUUUGAGGACAAGUAUUUUCGGACGGAGGGAGUAGAAA
rfam:Triticum aestivum genome assembly, contig: Triticum_aestivum_CS42_TGACv1_scaffold_320764_4BL